rnacentral:lncRNA from 1 species
UGGUAAUAAAAAAAUAAAAAUGGUCUGUAAUGGGGCUGAAAUAAUCUGACUUUUUAUUCCUUGAAAAUUGACGUGAGUGGUAGUUUUACAAGAUCAUAUAGCAAUCCAGCUCUGGACAUCGAGCUAUAAAUCAAAAUAUCUACACUUGUUACAUUACGUGAAUCUUACUAUGAUGUAUGAGUAUCACAGCAUGUUCUGAGUGCUGAGGGCCUUGC